rnacentral:rRNA from 1 species
UACGGGGGGGGCAUGCGUUGUUCGGAAUUACUGGGCGUAAAGGGCGCGUAGGCGGCCUUCUAAGUCGGACGUGAAAUCCCUCGGCUUAACCGAGGAACUGCGUCCGAUACUGAAAGGCUUGAAUCCGGGAGAGGGAUGUGGAAUUCCAGGUGUAGCGGUGAAAUGCGUAGAUAUCUGGAGGAACACCGGUGGCGAAGGCGGCAUCCUGGACCGGUAUUGACGCUGAGGCGCGAAAGCUAGGGGAGCAAACGGG